AUUCUAGAUACCGAGGAAGUUGUCCACAGAGGGAAAAAAUUAUACCAAGAAGCAAGAGAGCCUGUUUUCUGACCCCCUCUCAGUCACUUGGUAAUUAUUAUUCCUCAAUCUUCACAUCUGAGGAUAUAACUAUUUUACCUGACUGAAGACAGAAGGGGUAUACCAGAUGGUUUCACCAAGAUCCAUCAAAUUCUAGUCAAAGAUUCUUCCAUUUUAAUUAAGCCCAUUGCUUCCUGUUUGAUCUUCUAAGGGCAGAGAAUAACAAUGUAAGCUCUGACCAUUUAAAAAAAUCAUCAUUCCUGCUCUAAUCAUCUCAAACCAUUCAUUCACUGGUCAUCCCGGGAAGGUCAACAGCAAUCUCCGAAGAGUCUGGUACCACGUCCUCCUCACAAGUCACUGCUAUAAGACUGACACUUAUCAAAAUGUCUGCCCAUCUCCACAGAGACGCUCCUAAUGUGCCUUGUUUCUGCUUUAUGACAAUGACCUUGGUUACAGCCAGUUGGUCCAGGAAUAGGCACCUGACCCAGUCUGGGCCAAUCUGGCCCCCUCUCUUGGGAAUGGUGACCAAAAGAGUCUGUCUCAGCAGAAACUGGAAAUGUAACAUAAACAGUCAUAAGCCAGGGGCCUGCUGGCAGUGCCAUGGGGGCUAAAGAACAGAAAAGGCUAGUCUACAAAGAAAGAAGAGAAUGAAAUUGAUGUCCAAGAAAACUGGAUUCAAGACACCAGAGAGAAAAUGAGCCAACCCAUUCACACUUCCAGGCCCUUUCUGAGGCAUGACAAUGUGGCAGAAUGUAUUUUCCAAUAUUUUCCAUCCCAUACGCUCUUCCAGAACCUUGCCACUGCAUCAAAAGAUGGUGUCUAUAUCCCUUCCGCCUGAAACGGUGAGCCUUUGUGACUGCUCACACUUCUAGGAUGUGGCAGAAGUGACGCUGUGUGAUUGCUGAGGCUAGAUCAUAAAAGGCAACACAGCUUGCACACAGCUCUAUCUCUUUGGACACUCAUCCUUGGAAUGGCAGCCACCAUGCUCUGAGGAAGCACAGGUCACAUGGAGCGCCCCACUUGGAGACAAAUGGAGGCCCCCCAGCCCUCAGUGCUGGCUGAGCAACCAGCAGACAGCCAGCACCAACCUGCCACCAGGUGAGUGUGCCAUCUUGAAAGCAGAUCCUCCAGUCCCAGUGAAACCAGCCCAGGUAACACCACAUGAAGCAGAGGUGAGACUUCCCCACUGAGCUCCAUGUAAAUUGCAGAUUCAGG
rnacentral:lncRNA from 1 species